CCUUAUGUACUCGCCUAAGUACUCACUCUCCUUUUGGUGCAGUUAGCAGUUGCUGGCAGUUGGUACAUCAAAUCAAGAGUUUUUGAGUUACGGGAACAACUCGUGAACCUUGCCCAGGGGGAAUCCCUGAACUUACUGGCUGUCCUUUAUGGAUCUGACUGCUGGUUCAUAAAAUAGAUGAUUGAAAAAAACUGCUUGCGGCAGAAAUGAGAACAUAAGAAGAAGUUUGAGGCGGGCGAUGUGUGCAAAAUUACAAUAUUCUUGUGGUCUGGGAGUAAUUCUGAGUAAUUUUCAUUGGCUAUUUCAUCGAGAUAGGAAGUUAUAGUAUAUAGAGUAUAGUUAUAAGGCAAUGACUUAUUUUAAAUCUCAAUGGUAUUUUUUUUUUGUGCUGUUUGACUUGACAGUUCAUCGAUUGAUGGAUGACAGUUAUCAUUUUUCAUGGUUUGUUUAUAAACUUGAAAUUGUUUAGAAAAGAUAGAUACUUCUUUAAAUCAUUUAUAGAAUAUCGAACCGAAUUAGUUUAUGUGGAUUAGAUGUCUGCAAUGAAUGAGAAAAAUCCUUUACUGUUGUCAUCAUCAGUAAAAAAGUGUGAAAAGCGUAAUAAUGUAGGAAGACCAGUUACGGCAAAUAUUAAACUGUUUGGCCCUCAACCGCGAUCUAUAAUAGCCCAAAUGUUAUCAGACAUGAAAUCGAGAAGUAUUGUAGAUUCAGCUUCAUCCCAUGAACCCUCAAGCCAAAAUCAUAUGUCACACGAUUUAGUCGAAACCGAUAAUCGUGAACAACACAUAACAGAGAUUAUUAGGGAUUGCAGCAGACAACACAAGCCUCUUCAGUCAUCACAACAGCUAUUUUUAUGUGAUUAUGCAGAUUGUAAUUACUCUUGUAAGUUAUCUUCCAACCUUAUAAAGCACAAAAGAGUGCACACCAAUGAAAAGCCUUAUCUUUGUGACAGAUGCUCAUUUAGGACCAAUUUUGUUAACUCUUUGAAGGCUCACAAAAGAAUACAUACAGCUGAGAAACCAUAUAAAUGUAACCAUUGCAGCUACAAAUGUAACAGCAGUUCUAAUCUUAAAAAGCAUUGCCACCUGAGGCAUCCUGAAGGUAAUAAGUGUAAAUAUAAAUAGAUGUGAUGUAAUAGAACUGUCAAGUAUUGUUGAUUAUUACAUCAUUACAAGAAACUGUGAUCUGAAUAGCUGAUUUAUAAAUUGUUCAAUAGUCAUUAUUGGUAAUGAUUGUGAUUUACACUGUUACUGCAGCCAUAGCACAGUGUUAAUAGGGUGAAAAAGAAACAAAGACUUGUUCAAAGCUUUAUAUUUUUUACAAUUACCUAAGUAUAUUGAUAUAUGAUCCUAAAAAGUAUAUAAUAACUGGUAUAAAUGUUGCCCAAAGUACUUAAAUCAAGGCUUUCCUCUUAAAACAUGAUAAAAUACUCAAUAGUUGGUAGUUGUAAAAUAUUUUGAGCUCAAAUAGCGAGGUUACAUGAAUAAACAUAAAAAAAAAACAAUACUAGUUUGGUUUAUAAAUUAUAAGUCAAUAUCAGUGGCAAUGCUCUGUAAAGUCUACAACAACAGAUUCACGCCAACCAAAGAGGAAGUAACCAGUUGCUGAUCCCAGAACAACGGCGGCACAUAACCAUGUAUUAUACGACAUGAAUACCAGCAUCAACAUGUAACUUACUAAAACUUGCACUCCAUGAAGCACUGUCUGCCAUGCAUGUGCUGUACUCAUCAUAGUAGGACUGAAAUCAUAUUGAAAUUCAUUAAUUAUGAUUAUUAUUUUGUGUAAAUGAUUAGUAAAUUUAAGUACUCACACAUUUCUUUCAAGGACAUGGGGCACGGGCCUUAAACAAACAAAAGGACAGUUAUUUAAAGUGUAAAAUUACAUUUAAACCCACCAUUCAAAAUUUUCUAAAUUAUAGUGUAGCCAAGCCAAUGCGUAACCUAAUUAUGUAAGAUAUAUAAUAUUCAGUUUACUAGUUUUAAGUUGUAUAAGUUUAUUUUAAGGUUCAUUUGUUUAUGUUCAAAAUAAAAUGUAACAUAAUUAAUACAUUUUUUUUAUUUUAUGACAUGGCAUGAGCAUGAUAUGCUUGAGAUAAUUUCAUGUUACAGAAAAUUCUAAUUUUACGCAUUAGCAAAGUAAUGUGCAGUCGUUUUAUUUGACACAGUCUAACUCAUUAGUUAACAAAGUUAUGUAAGCAGUAAUAAUCAGCGUAUCUAAUUAUUAUGUGUCCUUAGAAUAUGAAUGUAAAUAUUUAAUGCUUUAGUCAUGCAUCAUGGUGAUUCAUGCAGCUAGUAUGGACAAUAGUUGGUAUUAUGCUAUUGAAAGAUGACCCAAAUAUCAAUGGCUUUACAUGGUUCAGCUAUGUUGAUUUAUUUCCAAGUUCAUAGUGUGAUUGCAUAAUCUCUACUUAUCAGGUAGUAAAUCUAAGUAAAAAAAGUUUGCUUUGUUUUGAAUGUUAAUUUGUGGACUUAUUUACCAAAUAAAUGAUUGCAAUUACA